ACCAGUGUGGCAUAGUGCUUUGAGUGUUGGACUACAACUCCAGAGACCAGGGUUUGAUUCCCAGCUUGGCCA
rnacentral:tRNA from 1 species